GCCAAAGCUGGGAGUCACGUGGUCCGCCGGGCAGCCGCCCCGCCCCUCCGCAGCCGCCCCUCCCCUCCCCGCCCCUUUCCCGGCGGGACGCUCGGAGCCGCCCCGAACUGCGCAGGGCAGCCGGGGGAGUCAUACCCCAGGGGUUUAUGUCGUAAAUGAACUGCUUGGCAUACAAGGGAACUAAAGAAUGAUGGCAUCAUUCCAGCGCUCCAAUAGUCAUGACAAAGUAAGGAGAAUAGUUGCAGAGGAAGGUCGUACAGCAAGAAACCUGAUAGCUUGGAGUGUUCCUCUGGAAAGCAAAGAUGAUGUUGCUGACAUUCUAAUGCAAGAGAGACCUUUCCCUUUUUCCUUUUGUGGCUGUAUGUGGAAAUCCAAAUGUCAAACUGGUGGAAAAUCAGAGGACAAUUCAAGGAACUCACAAAAAUGCUAAACAGGCAGCAUUCCAGAAGAGUGCUUUCCCAUGGACCGUAUUCUAGCCUUCAGGAAUCAUGAGAUCUUCACUCUGAAAAUCUCUAAGUAUACCAGUCAUGCAAUGCAGCACUCCUCCAUCACACUACAGAGUAGCUGCUGGCCCUUCUCUCACUCUCAACGUCCCAGGCAGAAGGUGAACAUAGGUCCACUGUGUCCUUUAGAUUUUAUGAGACAGAGUAGCUAAACUCUUAAUUUCCCCCCCCCCAUAUGUUUUAAGGGGCAAGCAACCUUACCAUCAACCAAUUUUCUGGGGGACUGACUCAGAUUGUACCUACAGAUCUUUCCUAAAACCUCCAUCCUGCCUCUUGACUUUAUUAAAUAUUCCAUGCCUAUGAGCACGUAGAUUCAUGUAACAAGAUUUAGGCCACCUCCUUUAAAAUAACUUACGAUGAUGGGUUUGAUAUUCAUUUGGUCUAGUUCACCUAUUAUUAUUUAUUUAUUUUUAUUAUUAUUGCUCAAGACUAUUUUAACAUUACUUAUAUUUUAAUAUUUUAUUAUAAUACACCCAAAUGGUCUGGUAGUGGCACUAAGAAAAUCCAUUUUAGCUCAGCCUGUCAUGUUGCUUCAGCUACUGAUCUUUGCAACCUACUUUAUUUAUUUAUUUUUUUUGCAACCUACUUUAAAACCAUUCUGUCCCAACUUCAUGUGAGCCCUGUAGGUGUUCCUCUGCUUUCUCACCCAGGCCCAUUCUUUCUGCAUUUCACAUGUUGUCUUGAUUUGAAUUAUUUCAGCUAUGCAUGUAGUAAAUUCCAUCUUUAUGCAUUACUUUCUCAGUGACAGUUUUCCUGAUAACUAGAUUUAAAUGAACCCACUCAUUAUCAUUCUAUAUCUUGAUACCUUGAUCCUUUCUCAUACAUUUUGAAGCUAGGAUUUAUUUGUCAAUUUUUACCUGUUUAUUGCCAGUGCCAGAUACACAGUUGCAGCUACAAAUAGACAAUCUACAGUGUUGCAGAUAAUGGAUAUUUAGAACAAAUAUAUACAGUGCCAAAUAAUCAUUUGUUGAAUAGAUGAAUAAAUGAUAGUAUUCCAUUUAAUUAGGUUGGAGAUUAUGGUCAUUAUAAUUUCAAAACAACAUUGAGGUGAAAAGUUAAGGAAAUGAAUGCCUGGAGGAGAUAUUCACUUGAAGAUACUUUUUUUUUAAGUCAAGAGUUAGUCAGUCCAUGUUUAGAACUCUCUUGUGGGGCGCCUGGGUGGCUCAGUCGUUAAGCAUUUGCCUUUGGCUCAGGGCGUGAUCCCAGAAUCAUGGGAUAGAGCCCCACAUCAGGCUCCUGCUCAGGGAGCCUGCUUCUCCCUCUCCCACUCCCCCUGCCUGUGUUCCCUCUCUCACUGGCUCUCUCUCUCUCAAAUAAAUAAAUAAAUAAAAUCUUAAAAAAAAAGAAAGAGCUCUCUUGUCAAAGCAAUCAUGCUCCUCUAGGUUUAGGCAAUAUCAGUAGGGUUGGGGCCCAGUCAAUUUCCUGAUGUUGCAGAGUGUAACCCACACCCUCUUCCAUUUCAAAACAUGAAUGAAGGAGAAAUCACACCUAUCAGGGAUCAACUGAGAAUUAGCUUUUCUUCACCAUUUGCAAAAGUAGAAACUUCCUUUGGGUAUUGUAUUUAUGUCUUGUGGCCUGGAAUUGCCAACUAAGUUCUAUAGCAUGUAACUCAAAUAAUUCUUGUCCAUUAACAAAUAGACAUAUUGAGGAUGAAAAUGAUAAAAAGGUAUAAUUUAUGACAUCAAAAUGAUUUUUAGAUUCAUUUGAAGGAAGAAGUCUAGCAUUCUAAUCAUUCUAUAAGAAAAUAUAUAUAAAAUCAUAGAAUUUAUAAAUUAUAUAUAUAUAUAAAUCCCAAUUUCAGCAGAUUCAAAAUAAGGCAUUUUCUUCCUCAGUCACACAGAACAUCUUCUUCUUGGCUUGUUUAUAUGCCCUAAUGACAGGAUUUUCAGAGGGUGUUCAUUUUGACUAUUGUAGAGGGGGCCAGGAUAAAAGUAUGGUCUCAAGACCUCUGUGAAGCACUUUCUGUAGGUAUAGAUGUGAGACAGGUUGGUCACAUUAUAAAAGGAGACCCUUCCAGCCUCAUAGUCCAAGAAGAUUCCAACAAUCUCAGGAGGUUUCUCAAGGUGGAGUGUUAUGUGUGGAUUUACAAGAGCUUGGUAGUCAUUACUUUUAUUCAAGCUCAGUGUCCAGAACCCAGUAUCUGGAGACUCUGUGAUUUCUCCCUGUCUGCAGACAGAAUGUUUACAAAUGCCUAGAGUCCAUUUUAUUUUAUUUUUCACACUCACUUCCCAGUAGUGUCUACCUUCGGAAAAAAAUUGCUGACCUAAUACACAGACUAGGUUAUCAAACUGCUGUGUACUUUUGGGUAGAUCCUGCAAGAUAUCACCUCCUUUCACGCUUUUGUUGUCUUCAGCAAUUUGGAGAUAUGGAUGAGAUGUAUCUGGAUCCAAGGUAACAUUUUCUAUGGAAGAACAUGUUGUCAGUCUUGGCUAUGAUCACUAAUAAUCCACAAUAUAUAACACAUUAUACAAGUGGCCCUCCUUUGUCUAGGAUCUUUCUUAGUUUUUUUCAAAUGAAGCUGCUCCUUUCCCUCAGGUCGUGUUUUUUAUAUCACCUCUAUUUAUCAAAUCACACACUUGAGAACUUGGUAAUUAGCAUUUGUUCAGAAUAGAAAAGAUGAAUAUCUAAACAUAUAGAUAUUUUCCAGUCAAAAUAAUUUUUUUAAUAUGGUCAAUGUUACAUUGAACACUUACUAUGUGCCUAGUGCUGUUUGAAGCACAUUUAUACUUAUUUAAUUUUAAUAAAUCAAUCAAAUGGAGAAAUAGUUUUAUUUUGUAGUUCAGACAAUGAAGACUUAGAGAAGUUUGUCCAACUAUGAUUACUAAUAUUAAUUAAAGUUUGGAUUCAAGUACAGAUCCAUCUGAUUCAAUUUAUGAAUUAAUGAAAAACAAUUAUACAUAUUUACUUUGGAUUUGAGUGUUUUUAACCAUUUAUUUGAUAAAAUGGAAGUUUUGGAGGAAAAAAUAAAAAGUGAGUGUGUGUAAUCUGUGUGAGUUUAUGAGUGUGUUACAGUCUCCCUUCUCUGGUGACCCAGUGUGCUGUCUAAAAGUAAGAAUCAAUAUAUAAAUACUUAAACUUCUUAUUACCUGCAUAUCUUCUAGCAAACUUCAACCCUAAAAUCAAAAAAAAAAAUUGGAUAGGAGUUAUUAACUCUUUUUCUAAUAUUUGCACAUGUAAAUCAUUUGGGUUAGAAAAAAGACAAUGGAUGGAUUAAAGUAACUGAUUUGGAAAAUAAUGGUUUAAAGCCUUUUUGUUGGCUUUGCUUUAACAUAAUUCAAAGGAUAUUAAUGCAAAUUUUUUGUCCAGAAAUAGCCACUCCCAGGUGUUUGUAUUAAGCACAUGGACUCCUGCAGAUUGCCCUCUGAAAAAAGUAAAAAUUUAAGAAGGUAGCACUGAAAACACCAGUGAGGUUUGGAUAUAAUUUCUGCUUCUCUGCACCUGAAGAAUUAAAAACUAAAUGCAGGGGCUCUUGGGUGACACAGUUAAGCAUCCAACUCUUGAUUUUGGCUCAGAUGAUGAUUUCAGGGCCCUGAUUUCAGGGUCAUGAGAUCGAGUCCCACAUCUGGUUCCACACUCAAAUGGCGUCUGCUUGCAGCUCUCUCUCCCUCUAACCUUACCCCCUAUAAAAUAAAUUUCAAAGUCUUUUAAAAUGUUAAGAAAAAUAAAUGCAGUUAUUUUUGCUAUGCUUGUUUUGAAAAUGCAAAUGUGUCCCUAUGAUUAACAUUAAAAAAGAAUUUGAGUACAUUGUGAAUUUUGCAUUUGUUUAUGUGUGAUUUUGUGUGAUAGAAAGCUCUACCCAGUUGAGCUAGAGUUGUAGAAAUACAUAAAAUAUAUAAACACACACACAAAUACACCCACAUAUGCGUACACAUCUCAGAAAGACAAUAAAAUACGCCCAUCCAUGAUUGAUAUUUUAACUUUCUAUCCUGCCACUUCACAAUAACUCCAAGCUGCCACACUCACCAAUGGUGCACAUAUCCAUACCCUGUCUUUCUUUGGUUUUUAUCCAUAUUUCUUUUCUGUUCUUUUUCUGUCUGUAUUUCUGUUUUAUCUCUUACUGUCUAUUUAUUUUAUUCUCUUCCUUUGCACAAGUUGUAGGGCAUGGAAGUGGAGGUAGGGGAGGUUCAUGCUGCCACAUGUAGACUUCAGGUCUCUUUGAUGGUAAAGUGCCAUAUUAUUGUAGUGUGUAGAUAUUUCCUAACAAUUUCACAAAUGUGA